rnacentral:ribozyme from 1 species
AAAGAAGAGAAAAAAAGAGGGGGUAGGAGAGGGUCGCCUCGCUGCAUUCUUUUUUUUUUUUUUUUUUUUUUUUUUUUUACUUUUG